rnacentral:misc_RNA from 1 species
GAAAUGCGAUAAGUAAUGUGAAUUGCAGAAUUCAGUGAAUCAUCGAAUCUUUGAACGCACAUUGCGCCCGCCAGUAUUCUGGCGGGCAUGCUUGUUCGAGCGUCAUUUCAACCAUCAAGCCCCCGGCUUGUGUUGGGGACCUGCGGCUGCCCGCAGGCCCUGAAAAACAGUGGCGGGCUCGCUGUCACACCGAGCGUAGUAGCAUACAUUCUCGCUCAGGGCGUGCUGCGGGUUCCGGCCGUUAAACGACCUUCAUAACCCAAGGUUGACCUCGGAUCAGGUAGGAAGACCCGCUGAACUUAAGC